rnacentral:rRNA from 1 species
CCUACGGGUGGCAGCAGUGAGGAAUAUUGGUCAAUGGCCGCGAGCCUGAACCAGCCAAGUCGCGUGAGGGAUGACGGUCCUACGGAUUGUAAACCUCUUUUGCCGGGGAGCAAAACACGCCACGCGUCCCGCCCCGAGAGUACCCGAAGAACAAGCAUCGGCUAACUCCGUGCCAGCAGCCGCGGUAAUACGGAGGAUGCGAGCGUUAUCCGGAUUUAUUGGGUGUAAAGGGUGCGUAGACGGGAACUCAAGUCAGGAGUGAAAACCCAGGGCUCAACUUCGGGACUGCUUUUGAAACUGAGUAGCUGGAGUGCAGGAGAGGUAAGCGGAAUGCCUGGUGUAGCGGUGAAAUGCGUAGAUAUUACGAGGAACUCCGGUGGCGAAGGCAGCUUACUGGACUGUAACUGACGUUGAUGCUCGAAAGCGUGGGGAGCAAACAGGAUUAGAUACCCUUGUAGUC